UAGAUUAAAGUCCGCUGGAUUGGGCGUUUAGUUGUUAACUAAGUGGUUACGGGAUCGAGGCCCGUUGAUCUAGU
rnacentral:tRNA from 1 species